AUGAUUGUCACACUAUGGGCGAUUUGGGCAGCGAGGAGAAAGAUAAUACAUGAAGGAAUUUACAAAACUCCAUUCGCUACUCAUGGUUUUGUCACUAGCUACUUGGCAGAUUUGAAACACAUACAGAAACCUAUUGACAGGUCACCGGCAACUCCAAGGGCUCGCCCAACUGCUUGGCAGCCACCACCGGAAGAUCAUGUUAAGAUUAAUGUCGAUGCGGCUGUGCCGCGUGCUGGUGGAAGGGGGGCUGUGGGAGCCGUUUGCCGAGAUGCAUCGGGUGUGUAUUUCGGGGCCUCGGCAGUUAUCUUCAACAAUAUAGAGGACCCGGAGGUGCUUGAAGUUCUAGCUACCAGGGAAGCGCUGGCGCUUGCCGAGGACUUGUACGAGCAGAAAGUUUUCAUCGCCUCGGAUUGCUUGACAGCGGUGGAGGCGAUCAAAAGAGGAACUGCAGCAGCAUAUGGAGCAGUGGUACAUGAAAUAACGGACAGAGCUCGUUUUUUCUCUUCGUGUUCUUUUAGUCAUGAAUUUAGAUCCUCGAACUUUGAGGCUCACAAUCUCGCGAAGCAUGCAUUAACGUUGGGGACCGGCCGCCAUGUCUGGUUAGGCCACCCCGGCGAUUUUUUGUUCGUCCCUGUAAACAUUGUGACGGUUGAAUAA
rnacentral:rRNA from 1 species